AUACAUGGGCAACGCGGAUCAAAGUGUAGUAUCUGUUCUUAGCAGUUUAUAAUAAUACAUGGGUUGUAUUGGAACCCAAGAUAUUAAACUUAUUUUUGCAAGUUGGCGGUGUGCUUAAAGCCUGCUUCACCUCCACCGGGGGUCGGCCCGGCAUUGCACAAUCUUCGGGAUCUGCAUGCGGUUG